rnacentral:rRNA from 1 species
AUUGAACGCUGGCGGCAGGCCUAACACAUGCAAGUCGAGCGGAUGAAGGGAGCUUGCUCCUGGAUUCAGCGGCGGACGGGUGAGUAAUACCUAGGAAUCUGCCUGGUAGUGGGGGAUAACAUCCGGAAACGGGCGCUAAUACCGCAUACGUCCUGAGGGAGAAAGUGGGGGAUCUUCGGACCUCACGCUAUCAGAUGAGCCUAGGUCGGAUUAGCUAGUUGGUGGGGUAAAGGCCUACCAAGGCGACGAUCCGUAACUGGUCUGAGAGGAUGAUCAGUCACACUGGAACUGAGACACGGUCCAGACUCCUACGGGAGGCAGCAGUGGGGAAUAUUGGACAAUGGGCGAAAGCCUGAUCCAGCCAUGCCGCGUGUGUGAAGAAGGUCUUCGGAUUGUAAAGCACUUUAAGUUGGGAGGAAGGGCAGUAAGUUAAUACCUUGCUGUUUUGACGUUACCAACAGAAUAAGCACCGGCUAACUUCGUG